AACGAACGCUGGCGGCAUGCCUAACACAUGCAAGUCGAACGAGACCUUCGGGUCUAGUGGCGCACGGGUGCGUAACGCGUGGGAACCUGCCCUUAGGUUCGGAAUAACUCCCCGAAAGGGGUGCUAAUACCGGAUAAUGUCUUCGGACCAAAGAUUUAUCGCCUUUGGAUGGGCCCGCGUUGGAUUAGCUAGUUGGUAGGGUAAAAGCCUACCAAGGCGACGAUCCAUAGCUGGUAUGAGAGGAUGAUCAGCCACACUGGGACUGAGACACGGCACAGACUCCUACGGGAGGCAGGAGUGGGGAAUAUUGGACAGUGGGCGAAAGGCUGAUCCAGCAAUGACGGGUGAGUGAUGAAGGCCUUAGGGUUGUAAAGCUCUUUUACCCGGGAUGAUAAUGACAGUACCGGGAGAAUAAGCUCCGGCUAACUCCGUG
rnacentral:rRNA from 1 species